CCUAAUACAUGCAAGUCGAGCGAAGACGAGGAGCUUGCUCCUCUGACGUUAGCGGCGGUCGGGUGAGUAACAGCUGGAUAACCUACCUAUAAGACUGGGAUAACUUCGGGAAACCGGAGCUAAUACCGGAUAAUAUAUUUGAACCGCAUGGUUCAUUAGUGAAAGACGGUUUUGCUGUCACUUAUAGAUGGAUCCGCGCCGCAUUAGCUAGUUGCUAAGGUAACGGCUUACCAAGGCAACGAUGCGUAGCCGACCUGAGAGGGUGAUCGGCCACACUGGAACUGAGACACGGUCCAGACUCCUACGGGAGGCAGCAGUAGGGAAUCUUCCGCAAUGGGCGAAAGCCUGACGGAGCAACGCCGCGUGAGUGAUGAAGGUCUUCGGAUCGUAAAACUCUGUUAUUAGGGAAGAACAAAUGUGUAAGUAACUAUGCACGUCUUGACGGUACCUAAUCAGAAAGCCACGGCUAACUACGUGCCAGCAGCCGCGGUAAUACGUAGGUGGCAAGCGUUAUCCGGAAUUAUUGGGCGUAAAGCGCGCGUAGGCGGUUUUUUAAG
rnacentral:rRNA from 1 species